rnacentral:rRNA from 1 species
GACGAACCACACAAACGUUAUUCGGAAUUACUGGGCUUAAAGGGUGCGUAGGCUGCGCAGAAAGUUGGGUGUGAAAUCCCUCGGCUCAACCGAGGAACUGCGUCCAAAACUACUGUGCUCGAGGGAGACAGAGGUGAGCGGAACUUAGGGUGGAGCGGUGAAAUGCGUUGAUAUCCUAAGGAACACCCGUGGCGAAAGCGGCUCACUGGGUCUCUUCUGACGCUGAGGCGCGAAAGCCAGGGGAGCAAACGGG